GGGAGGUUUCCUCCUUCCUUUUUUAUUUUCCCGAUUCCCUGGUUUCGUUUUCUUCUUCUCUUCCGACCACCGUCCCCCGUCAACCCCACACUGUUUCCUCUCCGCCGUCAACACCUCCGCCCACCGCCACCGCUGCCGCCGUCAAUUCUUCCGCGUCACCACAUCUCCCGUCUCUUUCCUCUACCAUAGUUGUGUCACUCCGCCGGCAUUCAUCGGCCCGGCCGAGUCCACCACCACCACCGUUUUCCGCCCUCCCACCACCGUCAACUUCGGCCUUCCACUGCUGUCAGCGCUCCCCGCUCGCUCCCCACCGCCGCUGCCACGCCUGCUGCUGCACCCCUGCGCUGCGCGCUGCCCCUGCAACUCUUUACUGCCGCUCGCCGCUGCUAAGUUGCUGCCGCACCGCCGCGCCGCCGGGUUGCUCUCACCGCCGCGCCGCCGCGUUGCCGUCGCCGCCGUCGACUGCUGCACCACCACUGUCGGCUCUGACAGUCAUCACCGCAGACCGCUCCAACCGUCCUGCAUCAGCUCCUCCCUGCCAACAGUUGCUCCGACCACCACCACCGGACCCUGCAACGCCGUGACCUUCUUCCCAGCAUCA
rnacentral:lncRNA from 1 species